rnacentral:rRNA from 1 species
AACGGCCGCGGUAUCCUAACCGUGCAAAGGUAGCAUAAUCACUUGCCUAUUAAUUGUAGGCUAGAAUGAAUGGGUUAACGAAAUAAAGACUGUCUCAAUUAAUCACCUAAAAAUUACUAUCUAUUUGAAGAAGAGUAGAUAAUCUCGAAGGACAAGAAGACCCUAUAGAGCUUAAUUUUAAUUAUAGAACUAUACUAUAAAAAUAUUCGGUUGGGGCGACCCAGGGCUAAUCAAUCACCCACUACAUAAAAGAUAUAUUAAUCAAAUAAUUGACCCCUAAAAGAUCAUAAGAACAAGCUACCUUAGGGAUAACAGGCUAAUCCCACUCAAGAGUCCUUAUCAACAGUGGGGUUUGGCACCUCGAUGUUGGCUUAGG